GGAAGGCUUGGAGUUAUUUGCAUCUAAGCUGGGGGGUACUUCUGCUCUUCCUUCCCCCAGGGAUGGAGAAAGGGCUGUGGGCCACAAGGUCUCAGUCCCUCCUCCCCCUGUGUUACAGCUGGAUAUUCAGUCCUGGGCUGGAAUCAUCCAGGCUUUGCUGGAAGCACGGGGGUGCCAUUCCCGCAGAAUGAGGCUAAUGCCAUGGAUGUGGUGGUCCAGUUUGCCAUCCACCGCCUAGGCUUCCAGCCCCAGGACAUCAUCAUCUACGCCUGGUCCAUCGGCGGCUUCACUGCCACGUGGGCAGCCAUGUCCUACCCAGAUGUUAGUGCCAUGAUCCUGGAUGCCUCCUUUGAUGACCUGGUGCCCUUGGCCUUGAAGGUCAUGCCAGACAGCUGGAGGGGCCUGGUGACCAGGACCGUGAGGCAGCAUCUCAAUCUAAACAACGCGGAGCAGCUGUGCAGAUACCAGGGUCCUGUACUGCUGAUCCGGAGAACCAAGGAUGAGAUCAUCACCACCACGGUUCCUGAGGACAUCAUGUCCAACCGAGGCAAUGACCUCCUGCUGAAGCUCCUGCAGCAUCGGUAUCCCCGGGUGAUGGCAGAGGAGGGUCUUCGAGUGGUGAGGCAGUGGUUGGAGGCCUCCUCACAGCUGGAGGAAGCCUCAAUUUAUAGCCGAUGGGAGGUGGAAGAGGACUGGUGUCUGUCUGUCCUCCGCUCCUACCAGGCAGAACACGGGCCCGACUUCCC
rnacentral:misc_RNA from 1 species